ACGGCUCAGUAACACGUGGCUAAUCUGCCCUUGGGACGAGAACAACCCCGGGAAACUGGGGCUAACUCUCGAUAGGCGAAGAACUCUGGAAUGAGUCUUUACCUAAAUAGUGCAACGUUAUGCUCGUUGCAUCGCCCAAGGAUGAGGCCGCGACCGAUCAGGUUGUUGGCGAGGUAAUGGCUCACCAAGCCUUUUACCGGUGCGGGCCGUGGGAGCGGGAGCCCGGAGAUGGGCACUGAGACAAGGGCCCAGGCCCUACGGGGCGCAGCAGUCGCGAAAACUUUGCAAUAAGCGAAAGCUUGACAGGGCUAUCCCGAGUGCCAUCCGCUGAGGAAGGCUUUUACCCAGUCUAGAACGCUGGGGGAAUAAGGAGAGGGCAAGUCUGGUGUCAGCCGCCGCGGUAAUACCAGCUCUCCGAGUGGUGUGGAUGUUUAUUGGGCCUAAAGCAUCCGUAGCUGGCUAAGUUAGUCCCUUGUUAAAUCCACCGAAUUAAUCGUUGGAUUGCGGGGGAUACUGCUUGGCUAGGGGACGAGAGAGGCAGACGGUAUUUUCGGGGUAGGGGUGAAAUCCUAUAAUCCCGGGAAGACCACCAGUGGCGAAGGCUGUCUGCUAGAACGCGCCCGACGGUGAGGGAUGAAAGCUGGGGGAGUGAACCGGAUUAGAUACCCGGGUAGUCCCAGCUGUAAACGAUGCAGGCUAGGUGUUUGGACGGCCACGUGCCGUUCUAGUGCCGCAGGGAAGCUGUUAAGCCUGCCGCCUGGGGAGUACGAUCGCAAGAUUGAAACUUAAAGGAAUUGGCGGGGGAGCAC
rnacentral:rRNA from 1 species